rnacentral:misc_RNA from 1 species
AACUUUUGGCAAUGGAUCACUUGGCUCUCGCAUCGAUGAAGAACGCAGCGAAAUGUGAUAAGUAAUGUGAAUUGCAGAAUUCAGUGAAUCAUCAAAUCUUUGAACGCACCUUGCGCUCCUUGGUAUUCCGAGGAGCAUGCCUGUUUGAGUGUCAUUAAUAUAUAUAUCAACCCUCUCUUGUUGAGUGGUUUGGAUGUGAGGGUUUGCUGGAUUCUUAAUAAAAAGGGUUCAGCUCCCUUGAAAUGCAUUAGCAGAACAACCUGUUCAUUGGUGUGAUAACUAUCUACACUAUUGAAUGCAAUGGCCAGUUCAGCUUUCUAACAGUCCUUGGACAAUUUAUCAUUAAUGUGACCUCAAAUCAGGUAGGACUACCCGCUGAACUUAAGCAUAUCAAUAAGCGGAGGCU